GCGAGCGUAGUUCAACGGUAGAACAUAAUUGAUAAAUUUAUUAAUGCAGGUUCGACUCCUGCCGCUCGCG
rnacentral:tRNA from 1 species